rnacentral:tRNA from 1 species
UCAGAAAUAGUUUAAUUAAAAUAUUAAUUUUGGAGAUUAAUGAUGGAAAAAUUUUCUUUCUGAA